rnacentral:rRNA from 1 species
GACGAACGCUGGCGGCGUGCUUAACACAUGCAAGUCGAGCGAUGAAGCACCUUCGGGUGUGGAUUAGCGGCGAACGGGUGAGGAACACGUGAAGAAUCUGCCUUCAACUCUGGGAUAACUCCGGGAAACCGGGGCUAAUACCGGCUAUGAGCCUUGGCCGCAUGGCCGGGGCUGGAAAGUUUUUCGGUUGAAGAUGACUUCGCGGCCUAUCAGCUUGUUGGUGAGGUAAUGGCUCACCAAGGCGACGACGGGUAGCCGGCCUGAGAGGGCGACCGGCCACACUGGGACUGAGACACGGCCCAGACUCCUACGGGAGGCAGCAGUGGGGAAUAUUGGGCAAUGGAGGAAACUCUGACCCAGCGACGCCGCGUGAGGGAUGAAGGCCUCCGGGUUGUAAACCUCUUUCAGUAGGGAAGAAGCGAAAGUGACGGUACCUACAGAAGAAGCACCGGCUAACUAUGUGCCAGCAGCCGCAGUAA